CUGGUUAGUACUUGGAUGGGAGACCGCCUGGGAAAGCCAG
rnacentral:rRNA from 1 species